AGGUGGUUAUAACGUUGGGGAUCCACCUCUUCCCAUUCCGAACAGAGAAGUUAAGCCCAACGGUGCCGAUGGUACUGCGUCACAGUGGGAGAGUAGGACGCCGCCGUUU
rnacentral:rRNA from 1 species